rnacentral:sRNA from 1 species
AAAUAAUAGAAAAAGGAGAGAAGGAGAACUAAACA